GUCUUUUAAGAAUAAAAUCGUGACAGAGCACAUGCUCCAAAGCGAAUAAUGCAUUGGAUGAGAGGUGACUGAUCUUAACGAUGUCACUCAACAUACUUGAGAUCAGAACAAUUGGAUUCAAUGCUUACAUAUUGUUUGAUAAUUCACAAAUUUCACAAAAUAAUCAUUUAUAUUCUGAAUCAAAGCCACAAAAACUUUUAAUUUGC
rnacentral:lncRNA from 1 species